GUAAUUUUUUUCAUUAUAUUAGCAGAUUUAUGAAAAUCACAAGGCCAUGAUAAGUCAUCAAAAGGCCUUAUAUAAAAAGAAUUAUACAGAACUAUAUAUCUCAUCUUUCCCGCUUUAUCAAUAACAUCUUUCAAUUUAUGGAGUAGUGUUCAAGUAAUUAAAUAAUAUCAGUAACCAGUGUUCAGUGAGACAUUGAGAUAGGGUGAAAACUGAACUUUAAUGAAAAUUCUCAAAAUUCAGUUUUGAGGCAAAAAUAUGUGAAUCUGUAAAGACAUUUAAGUUUCAAUUAGAUUAAUAUUGCUUUUAUAACACAGUUUAAAGUGAAUCUGAACAUAACUUCACAAAAUUCCCUGUUAGUAUAUAUCUUUAUUUUACCCAAAAAUAGGUGGACCUGGAAAAAAAUCCUCUAAAUGAUGGAUAGGUGCAUGCACAACAGUAUAUAUGAUUGUAUCAGUACCCUCACCAGUUUCAAUUCAAUCUGACAGCAUACAACUCAAUAACACUGUCAAAUGUGGACUUUAAACAAAUAUUGACGCCACUGCUAUUAAAUAUUUGUAGUGAUGGUUGUAAACUCGCUUUUAUUUAAUAAAUUAAUUGAACAAAUUAAAUAAGGCCAAAAAGUGUAAUUUCUGUAUAUGAAUUAAAUAAUUAUUUCUAUAACCCAUCCCUAUAGGGUAACAGAACAGGACACCCUGUGGUAAAAAA